rnacentral:rRNA from 1 species
UACGGAGGAUGCAAGCGUUAUCCGGAAUGAUUAGGCGUAAAGCGUCCGCAGGUGGCAAUGUAAGUCUGCUGUUAAAGGGUGAGGCUCAACCUCAUAAAAGCAGUGGAAACUACAUGGCUAGAGUGCGUUCGGGGCAGAGGGAAUUCCUGGUGUAGCGGUGAAAUGCGUAGAGAUCAGGAAGAACACCAGUGGCGAAGGCGCUCUGCUAGGCCGUAACUGACACUGAGGGACGAAAGCUAGGGGAGCGAAUGGG